CGCAACAGAAGCAAACUCGCAGCACCCCUCCUCCUCGUCAGUCACCGCCUGGUCUUCUCGAUGGAGGCGGAGGAGUAGGGGAUCCCGCCGGAUCAGAGGCGUGCGGGCACCGUGGUGGGCGUCUCCGGCAGCGACGGCGACCUGCAGCUACGGCGGGGGCGCUCGAUUUAGUGCAGCGCCAUGGACCGGUCCCUGCAGAAGUGAGAGAAGAUGAGGGAGAGAGAGAAGGAAGGAGAGGAGCAUCGAUGGUGGUUCGAGCGCUGCCGCCUCCUUCCGCACCCCUCUUCUUCGCGCACGGCAACAGAGGCAAGUCCUGUCAGGGAAUAAUAUUAUUCAGUUAGCAUCUUUUUCGUGGAAGAGGAGUGAGAAUUUAAAGGUGCAUGCUACAUAGAAGCUUAGAUCUGUAAUCAAGCUGUGGAAGAGAAUACUGUAAGAGAUACUUCUAUAAGUAGAGACUUGUUGUUUUUCAUUCAGUUGAAGAGCUCUCCAUGCCUAAGAUCUUUUCUAGGAUAAUUGCGUCGUUAAAUACGAAGGAUUCGCUCUUGUGCCAAAGCCAGCUCGGGGAAGUCUUCCUGGACUCCUGGUUGACCACGACAAUCACGACACGGUGAGUGGAUUUUGAAUCUUUCUUGAGCCGUCGGAUCGGAUUAGAUGUGUAUAUGGUAGUUAUGGACUGCUAACUGCUUAAUGUUGUGUUUCCUUUGUGUACUAUGGUGUGAGAUUAAGCGAGCGGAACGCCGAAGGAGGAUCUUGGGGAUGACGGAGGCAUCGACGACAACCUCAAAGGCGAGAGGGUUCAGGAUACUCUCUUGUGACGUUGGCUUAGGAAAAGUUAUUCGGCUCCAUUUACGAUUGGUUCAUUUCACCGUGCUCUAGCCCCGCAUAGUCCCCUCCUCCUUGGUUGCCGCUCUCGUCCUCUGACGAAGGACCAUGGGGCUUGCAGCUGUGCCUGAGCCCCCACAAGGACGUUGGGUGGAGGAUAUCCGGUGCCAACGGGCCGCUCUUGUAGGUGUCCGAGAUAUCGGAGCUGUCGGAGUCAACGGUCAUCGUCCGGAGACGGGUCGAUGGGGGAUGCUAUGAUGAAUUGGCCCGUGGAUAAGAAUAUUUUAGUCACUGGAGAGAUUGUUGAACAUGUGACAUUGAUGCAAAUCUCUGGCCACCUACGGGUGAAACUGCUUGAAGACCAAGUUUGAAUAUGUACGAGGGCAGUGAAUUUCGGCAUGCGAGUUUACUUGCAGUCUCUGACCCUAAUGUAAUCAGUCCCAGUAGUGAGGGAAAGGCACUGCCAACGAGGAUGUGGAGGAGAACAAGGUCGAGCCGGAUUGGUGAAGGGUGUUGAGGCUGGCUCUCUCUCCUCCUCGUCUUACACAGUGUGAAGAAGAUCGAUGUUGAAAUGGACGCAUGCUGCAGGAGAAGUAGAGGCGUCUUGUGAGCCUUGGGUUCUUCAUCGAUCUGUUUGUGCGUGCUCUUGGUCGCAUGCACGCCUAAGCAAUCAACUGUUCACCGACAUAACGUGAACACUAAGAGAGCAGAGCUAUUAUCUCAACAAUUGAGCUAGAGAAAUUAAUCUAUGAGCAUUUUCAUGCAUAUGAUUUAAUCUAAUUUUUAGUUGUGCUAAUUUAAUUGAUUUGGAGAUAUAUGCAAUAUACAUCUUUCAGCAAUCAACUGUUCACCGACCUGUCUAUUGUAUGCAUUAAUUGGAUUAAUUAACGACAAAUGCAUGAUUUAUUGAAGUCAAGUUACUAAAUAUUCAUGAUGGUAUCUUUUUCCCUGAACUUCUUAUCCAUGAUUAACUGAGAGUCGAAUACUUAAGUGGUUGAGGAAAGCUUCAAAUACAACAGUGGCAAACAUCUCCAUUGAUGCUACAAAGCAUCUCGAUGAUUUUGAAGAUCGAUGGAUGGGAGAUGGGACACGAUUUUGUGUGGACACCUCUGUAUGCUCCAAGACUUAACUCUGUUGAUUUAUGGCAUGGUGAUUGGUGAUUGAUUUCGAUUGCACGGGAAUUCUGGGGAGAGCAGUGGAAAAGCUAUGGGGAACUUGUGUGUUAACGACGCUAGCAGUGAGGGUUUCUUUUGAGCUUCUCUUCGCUUCUCCUUAAUAAUCGGACCUUCCUGCUAUGCUUAGUGAAUUUCGAUAUUUUGAUGAUGCAAGCAUUGUUGUUUCUAGUGGCUGCAAGGAUUUCCUUUGGGCACAUUUUCUUCUAGCUUAAUUAGUCAGGAUCGUUGAUUUUAUAAACAAUAUUCAGACUGUUCCUUGUAUUAGCAAAAAUCAGAUAAGAAUUGAAUUAUUGUACUUAAAGACAACCUGAA